GUCUGUGUUUCUUCUUUUACAUACUAUAAAUGACAACAUUUGAUGAAAGGAAGUACAUUUCCUGAUCCCAUUCCACCAUCAGUGGGAUCACCAACAUCACUUUUAUGAAACUGAAGUGAAACAUAUCAAGUCAAUAUGUUGUCCUUAAAUAAUAGAUACUCAAAGAAGGGGGAAAUAGUUUGUUUACUAAUUUGUUGUGUGUCUUUGUAGGUGCAGAAGGUAGUCGACACUAGGGCAGUUUUUAAAGAUGUGAUUGCAGGAAAGCUAUGCAACUUUUCAGUCCGAGCCGAGAAGGAGUUUUUCAGAGACAGUCUGGCUGUUAUUAUCACCAUAAGAGCUGGUACACAUACUUUCACAUAAGCUCAACUACUUAUGCUACCAUUCAAUAGUUUGGGAUCAGUGAGAUUGUUAUGUUUUUUUUGUUUUUCUUUUUUUAUAAAAAUAAUACUAUUAUUUACAGAGGAUCUAUUAAAUUGAUCUAAAUUUUUAUUUUUAUUUAAUUUUUUUUAUAAAAAUAAUACUAUUAUUUACAGAGGAUCUAUUAAAUUGAUCUAAAUUGAAAUUAAUAAAAUUAAUUCAUUAAAUUGAAUUGAAAAUGUAAAUAAUUCUCCUUCAAAUCAAUUCUGUUCUUUUGAACUUUCUGUUCUUAAACUUUGCGUUUAAUUGCCUUGAGUGUUUUUGUAGCUCCCAGUCCGGUCACCCUGCUGCCAGUGCAGAGGACAUCAGCGUCUCUCAGCGUGCGCUGGAGGGCCGGCCGGGGGGUCUGUGACUCAUUCAUCCUGUCCAUCAGAAACUCAACCUUCAUCCUGCAGACCAGUCAGAGUGUGUCUGAUGACAGAACAUAUCGCUUUGACGACCUGUUGCCUGGAAGUGUGUAUACUGUUGAAGUGAGCAGUGUUAGCGGAGACAGGCGAAGUUUACCUGCUGCUGUAAAUGUUAACACACGUGAGUGUGACUGUACUUAUAUUGGUACUAAACUUACUGUCUCACACAAAUCCACAUAUUAGCUCUAUUCCAAACCUUAGUGCCUUGCUUACUGCCUGCAUAGACAGCUUCCCACC
rnacentral:lncRNA from 1 species